rnacentral:rRNA from 1 species
ACGGAAGGCAGCAGUGGGGAAUAUUGGACAAUGGGGGCAACCCUGAUCCAGCCAUGCCGCGUGAGUGAUGAAGGCCUUCGGGUUGUAAAGCUCUUUUGGCGGGGACGAUGAUGACGGUACCCGCAGAAUAAGCCCCGGCUAACUUCGUGCCAGCAGCCGCGGUAAGACGAAGGGGGCUAGCGUUGUUCGGAAUUACUGGGCGUAAAGCGAGUGUAGGCGGUUGCCCAAGUCAGGUGUGAAAGCCUUGAGCUCAACUCAAGAAAUGCACUUGGUACUGGGUGGCUAGAGGACCGGAGAGGAUAGUGGAAUUCCCAGUGUAGUGGUGAAAUACGUAGAGAUUGGGAAGAACACCAGUGGCGAAGGCGGCUAUCUGGACGGUUACUGACGCUAAGACUCGAAAGCGUGGGGAGCAAACAGGAUUAGAUACCCUGGUA